GGGGCUGUGGCGGAACUGGCAGACGCAGUGGACUUAAAAUCCACCGGUUUCAAACCUUGUGGGUUCGAGUCCCACCAGCCCCACCA
rnacentral:tRNA from 1 species